ACAUUUUAAGCUUUGGGAAGCGAAAUCUAAAACCCCAACCCAAAACCCCAAAUAUAAAAGGAGUCGAGGAGCAACACCCAUCUGCAUCUAGACUCUAGAGUAGUGAGUAGAGAGAGAGAGAGAGAGAGUGAGAGGUGUUAGGGCGAAAUCUGGCUAAAAAUGUCGAUGUCGAAGAGCUCGAAGAUGCUCCAGUACAUCAACUACCGUAUGCGCGUCACAAUCCAAGAUGGGCGCCAGUUAGUGGGCAAGUUCAUGGCCUUCGAUCGCCACAUGAACCUCGUCUUGGGCGACUGCGAAGAGUUCCGCAAGCUUCCUCCUGCCAAAGGCAAGAGAGCCAACAACAACGAAGAGCGCGAGGACCGCCGCACUCUCGGCCUCGUCCUCCUCCGCGGCGAAGAGGUCAUUUCCAUGACUGUCGAGGGCCCACCUCCUCCCGAAGAGUCCCGUGCAAAGGCUGCUAAUGCUGCCGCCAUGGCCGGACCCGGUAUUGGCCGUGCUGCUGGCCGAGGCAUUCCAACCGCACCCCUAAUUCAGGCUCAGCCAGGCCUCUCCGGUCCUGUCCGUGGAGUUGGUGGGCCUGCGCCUAAUAUGAUGCAGCCUCAGAUGGCGCGGCCGCAGCUCUCAGCGCCUCCGAUGACUUACCCUACACCCCCUGUGAUGCGGCCCCCGGCGUACCCCGGACAGGGUGGUCCUCCUCCUCCUCCUCCUCCUAUGAUGCGGGGGAUGCCUAUGCCACAGGGCCAGGGUCAGGGCCAGUUUGCUGCAGCAAGGCCACAGUUCCAGGUUCCCCCGCCGCCGCAUUUUGGCCAGAGGCCAAUGGGGCCACCGCCACCCGGUCAGAUGAUGAGAGGUCCACCGCCGCCGCCCGGUCGUCCUGGGAUGCCGCCUGUUCCUGUUUUUGGGCCUCCCCGACCCAGUAUGCCACCUCCACCAAACCCUCAGCAGCAGCAACAACAGCAGUAAUUAGGAUGCUGUGGGGUGUAUUUUGAGCAUUCCGGGAAGCUCUAUAAAAAGGCUCCAGGAGGGAUAUUACAAGUGCUGUGAAGGUUUUCGAUUGGAUAAUCGUCUCUUGCUGCCUUUAAAUCCAGUUUCAAAUUUGUUAAUCCUUUGGACUAGGGCGAAUCUAUUGCUGAUAUCUUUGGAUAGUGUUGAUGUCAUGUUAUGAUUUUAGUGUAGUCUGGCCUCUAUAUUGACGGUUAAGAUGGAUAUUAUGUAUUGUGUUAGUGCAGGUUGUCAAUUGAACAAUUUUGUGACUGGGUAUAUAUUAGAUCUUAUUACCCCCCCAA